rnacentral:rRNA from 1 species
UCGAGAAUCUUUCACAAUGGGGGCAACCCUGAUGGAGCGACGCCGCGUGGAGGUUAAGGUCUUCGGAUUGUAAACUCCUGUCAUGCGAGAACAAAGCCCUCACGGGUGUGAUAGUAUCGCAAGAGGAAGAGACGGCUAACUCUGUGCCAGCAGCCGCGGUAAUACAGAGGUCUCAAGCGUUGUUCGGAUUCACUGGGCGUAAAGGGUGCGUAGGUGGUUGGGUAAGUCUGAUGUGAAAUCUCCGGGCCUAACCCGGAAACUGCAUCGGAUACUAUUCGACUGGAGGGUUGGAGGGGGGACUGGAAUACUUGGUGUAGCAGUGAAAUGCGUAGAUAUCAAGUGGAACACCAGUGGCGAAGGCGAGUCCCUGGACAACUCCUGACACUGAGGCACGAAAGCUAGGGGAGCAAACAGGAUUAGAUACCCGCGUAGUCCCUGAGCGGGCUGGCAAGGCGCAU